CACUUUUUGACGCGUAUAUUUACCAAUAUACUACAUUCUGAUGUCUGUAUCUACAUUUUUGGCAAAAUCGACGAGUCAUAUACUACGAUUGCACACAAAUAUACUACACUGACCCCUCAAAUAUAUUACGAUCGCGAAAAACGGCCAAAAUAUAUUGAAGUAUAUGGGGCAAAUAUACAAAAAAACAACUCUACGAUUUU
rfam:Trbanus proteus nucleopolyhedrovirus isolate Southern Brazil, complete genome.